rnacentral:tRNA from 1 species
GGAGAGUUGACCGAGAGGCUUAUGGUGCACGCUUGGAAAGCGUGUGUACGGUAACCCCGUACCGAGGGUUCGAAUCCCUCACUCUCCG